rnacentral:lncRNA from 1 species
ACACAUGCUAGCCAAGUGUGCUACUGCUGAGCCCCAGCCCCCCAGCCCCCCAGCCCUAUUUUGUAUUUUAUUUAAAGACAGGGUUUCUCUGAGCUGCUAAGCACCUCACUAUUGCUGAGGCUGGCUUUGAACUCGUGAUCUUCCUGCCUCAGCCUCCGAGCUGCUGGGAUUAUAGGCACCACCGCUCCUGGCUUGUAUUUAUAUCUUAAGUUUAAUGAUAUUUACCUGUCAGCUAUAUUCAGUGUCCUGAUGUGCCUUUUAAAGCCUUUCUUCAUUUCUAUUAUAGUCUGUUUGAAUUUUUGCUUAGUUUCCAUAUCUCUCCUAAAAUACCCAUGUUUUAUUUCAUGUUGUCCACUUUCUCAAUUAGAAUUCUUAGUGUAUUAAUCAUAAUUAAAAUCUCACUGUUGAUUUCUAGUGCUUUGAGAAGAAAUGUUUUUUAAAGAACCUGGCUUCUUUCUGUUUGUUACCACUCUUGUGAGGCUUCUUUGCUUAUAUCACCAAAACCUGUUUUCAUUUAUUAGUGCUCACUGAUUUCUGGAUGCUCAGUGGGGCUCGGUGGUGCAUGCCUAUAAUCCCAGCUACUUGAGGGGAGACCGAGGCAGGAGGAUUGUAAGUUCAGACAGCCUCAGCAAUUUAGUGACACCCUGUCUUGAAAUUAAAAAAAAUUUACAAAAGGGCUGUGAUGUGGCUCAGUGGUUAAGCCCUGGGUCCUGGGUUCAAAUCUUUGCCCUCACCCUCCAAAAAAAAGAAGAAAAAAAGAAUAUGGAUGACCACACAAAAUUUUGUACAUAUAUGUUUGGAGCAGUAGUAUUCAUACUAGCCCAAGGGGAAGCAACUUAAAAGUUCGUGUGCUGAUGAAUAGAUAAAUAAAAUACAUAUCAAUACUAUGAAGCAUUAUAUGCUGUAACUUGGAUGAAUUUGAAAACAUCAUGCUAUGUGAAAGAAGCCAGUGGAAAAAUUAAACUAGAUAUUAUAUAAUUUCAUUUAUAUGAAUUGUCCAGAAUAGGUAAAUCCAUAGAGACAAAAAAUAAAUUAGUGACUGCCCAAGGUAGCCCUGAGAGAGAGGGAGUAUGUAUGAGGAUGGGAGGGAGGGAAUUGCGUGGAUUGGGGAAAAGACAACUACGGAUGCUAGGUUUCUUUUUGGGAUGAUGAAAAUGUUCUGGGCUAGGGUUAUGGCUCAGGGCAGAGUGCUUGCCUAGCAUGCGUGGGGCACUGGGUUCAAUCCUUAGCACCACAUAAAGUAAAACAAAGACGUGUACACCUCUAACUAAAGAAAUUAAAAAAAAAAAGAAAAGAAAGAAAGUAAAUGUUCUAAAAUUGAUUGUGGUAACAGUUGCACAUCUUUUAAUAUAGUAGCCAUCGAUUAUGUGUUGUCAGCAUGGGAUAUGUGAAUCACAUUUCAGUAAAACUGUUAAAGAAUGUAGCAGAUAUAUUCAAGACUAUUAAGAGCAU